rnacentral:rRNA from 1 species
UACGGAGGGUGCAAGCGUUAUCCGGAUUCACUGGGUUUAAAGGAUGCGUAGGCGGGCAGGUAAGUCCGUGGUGAAAUCUCUGAGCUUAACUCAGAAACUGCCAUGGAUACUAUUUGUCUUGAAUAUUGUGGAGGUAAGCGGAAUAUGUCAUGUAGCGGUGAAAUGCUUAGAUAUGACAUAGAACACCAAUUGCGAAGGCAGCUUACUACACAGUUAUUGACGCUGAGGCACGAAAGCGUGGGGAUCAAACAGG